AGAGUUUGAUCCUGGCUCAGAAUCAACGCUGGCGGCGCGCUUAACACAUGCAAGCUCGCACGAGAAAGUGGGCAACCAUGAGUACAGUGGCGAACGGGUGAGUAACACGUGGGUAAUCUACCUCUGAGUGAGGAAUAACCCUGGGAAACCGGGGCUAAUACCGCAUAAGCUCGAGAGAGGAAAGCAGCAAUGCGCUGAGA
rnacentral:rRNA from 1 species